GGUUGCGAUCAUACCAGCACUAAUGCACCGGAUCCCAUCAGAACUCCGCAGUUAAGCGUGCUUGGGCGAGAGUAGUACUAGGAUGGGUGACUCCCUAGGAAGUCCUCGUGUUGCAACCC
rnacentral:rRNA from 1 species